rnacentral:snoRNA from 1 species
GAUAGUGAUGAUAUAUCUGGAAUCUCGUUCGUCUGAAAUGCUGUUGAGAAAUAGAAAUCUGAUGGCA